rnacentral:lncRNA from 1 species
UCAAUCUUACAGGGAGACUGGUUAAGUCAAGCAACAAUAAGCCUUAAAGAAUUGCAGCGGUCGCCAAGCAAUGAAAUGGAGCAUUCCUUAACUUCAUGACCUGUGUUUCGCGGUGAAUCCUGAUUCCUCAGCAUUCUGUGGUGAUACAAGGAUUUCGUGAAUCCUGAUUCCUCAGCAUUUCACAUAUGUGGUGAUACAAGGAUUUCGUGAUGCAAUGACUUGUGCUUCCAUGGUUGAAGAUGUCAGAUUUCUGUAAGCAGCAAAUGUCAUUUUUUCAGAUGCAAUUGAUAGUGUUACUUAUGAGUGACACUAAGGGACAUUGUGGUUAGUCAUAGACCUGGGAGCUGAGUCCUUACCCUUUUCACAGAUGUGGU